GUGUCAGCCGCCGCGGUAAUACGGAGGGGGCUAGCGUUGUUCGGAAUUACUGGGCGUAAAGGGCGCGCAGGCGGCGGUUCAAGUCGGGCGUGAAAGGCCUGGGCUCAACCCGGGAAUGGCGCUCGAGACUGAAUUGCUAGAGUCCGGGAGAGGAUGGUGGAAUUCCCAGUGUAGAGGUGAAAUUCGUAGAUAUUGGGAAGAACACCGGUGGCGAAGGCGGCCAUCUGGACCGGUACUGACGCUGAGGCGCGAAAGCGUGGGGAGCAAACAGGAUUAGAUACCCGGGUAGUCC
rnacentral:rRNA from 1 species